CCCCCCUUCCCCUCAGCACUCGCCUCCUGUUCCGCCCGCAGCGCGCGCGCGUCGCGUUUCCUCCGCUCCACCUCGGCCGCCGCCUCGUCCCGCCGCACCCGCGCCACAUUGUCCUUGUUCCGCACGUGCCACGACUUCUUCGGGAGGAUGUUCAUGGCGGCGGCGGCGGCGGGGCCGGCAGCGGCACCAGGCCGCGACUCUAAAGCACGGAGCCUGCACCUCCCUCCGUUCCGCCCUCUCGGUUCUGAUUGGUCGAGCCCGCUGUCGCUCCGCUCGUACCUCGCUCUCUGAUUCGUUCGGCCUUUUCGCUCCGCCCCGUGGCCGCUCUGAUUGGUUGAGAGUUAUAAUCCCGCCUUCUUCCCGCCUCUGAUUGGCUCGCCCGCCUCCCUCAGCGAGGCGAUGCCGGAAGUGGAAAUUUCCCGCCCUCUCGCAUUGUGGGAGCGCCGCCAUAUUGAACCGUGAGGGGAGGCGAGGGCAUCCCUGAAAUCUUCCCCCCAAAAACCUCAAAAACCUCCUCGGGAUCCUCCAAAAUAACCCUAAAACCCCUUUGGGAACCCUCAGAAUCUCCUUGGGAACUCCUGGCCCGAGUUCUUUCCCGAUUUCAAGGUGUUUGCUGCAAGAUUUGCCUCAUUUCCCCCAAAGAUUCACCUCAGGGCCUUGGGGGUCCGGCAGGAUCAGGGCCGUGGCCGCGCCCAGGAUGAGCAGGGGCACAAGAUGGAGGCAGAAAUGCACCGAGGCCCAAAAUCGCAGCGUGGCCUCGGCCUCCCGCAGCACGAAACCCAUGCUCAGGGCCGCCUCGGCCGCCGCCUCUGCCGCCAGCCACAGCGGCACGGUGAGGAAGGACAGGUACUGCCCGCCGUGC
rnacentral:lncRNA from 1 species